GUAGUCGUGGCCGAGUGGUUAAGGCAAUGGAUUAAAAAUCUAUUGGGGUUUCCCUGCGCAGGUUUGUAUCCUGCUGACUAUG